rnacentral:rRNA from 5 species
AAAACUUUCAACAACGGAUCUCUUGGUUCUGGCAUCGAUGAAGAACGCAGCGAAAUGCGAUAAGUAAUGUGAAUUGCAGAAUUCAGUGAAUCAUCGAAUCUUUGAACGCACCUUGCGCCCUCCGGUAUUCCGGUGGGCAUGCCUGUUCGAGCGUCAUU